rnacentral:rRNA from 1 species
GGAGUACCCUUCGGGGGCUACCUGUACUGAUCUCUGAUCGUUGCUCUGGUACCGAAAGCGUGCUUACGGUUGUCAAAGUCGAUGGUCAACAGGUUAGAACGGGUUAAAUUCGUUAAGGAUGUUGACGUAAUGGCUUUAAACGACCCGUCUUGAAACACGGACCAAGGAGUCUAGCAUAUAUGCGAGUGUUAACACUCGCAUAUAUGCUAGAGUUC